CUCCCAGCCUUUGGACCUCGCUCAGCUCUGCUGCCCAUCCGGAACCCGCAGCAUCCACCCUCUCAAUCCGAGACUAUAUCUACCAGAAAUCCCCCCCAGUUUGGACCCUAAGCACGCCAACAUCUGUACUGGGUUAUUGUUUUACAAUAAAUAUUCUUCAACUGA